UACGUAGGCAGCAAGCGUUGUUCGGAAUUACUGGGCGUAAAGAGUGUGUAGGCGGUGUUCUAAGUUUGUCGUGAAAUCUCCCCGGCUUAACUGGGAGGGUGCGGCGAAAACUGGAAUGCUAGAGGAUGGGAGAGGUAAGCGGAAUUCCUGGUGUAGCGGUGAAAUGCGUAGAUAUCAGGAGGAACACCUGCGGUGUAGACGGCUUACUGGACCAUAACUGACGCUGAGGCACGAAAGCGUGGGUAGCAAACAGG
rnacentral:rRNA from 1 species